AUACGUAGGGGGCAAGCGUUAUCCGGAAUUACUGGGUGUAAAGGGUGCGUAGGCGGCACGACAAGUCAGAAGUGAAAGGCGGGGGCUUAACCCCCGAACUGCUUUUGAAACUGUCGAGCUGGAGUACAGGAGAGGAAAGCGGAAUUCCUAGUGUAGCGGUGAAAUGCGUAGAUAUUAGGAAGAACACCAGUGGCGAAGGCGGCUUUCUGGACUGAAACUGACGCUGAGGCACGAAAGCGUGGGGAGCAAACAGGAUUAGAUACCCUGGUAGUCCACGCUGUAAACGAUGAAUGCUAGGUGUUGGGUCUACGGACUCGGUGCCGCAGUUAACGCAAUAAGCAUUCCACCUGGGGAGUACGACCGCAAGGUUGAAACUCAAAGGAAUUGGCGGG
rnacentral:rRNA from 1 species